rnacentral:rRNA from 1 species
UAGCUAGUUGGUGAGGUAAUGGCCCACCAAGGCGACGAUCGGUAGCCGGACUGAGAGGUUGAACGGCCACAUUGGGACUGAGACACGGCCCAGACUCCUACGGGAGGCAGCAGUGGGGAAUAUUGCACAAUGGGGGAAACCCUGAUGCAGCGACGCCGCGUGGAGGAAGAAGGUCUUCGGAUUGUAAACUCCUGUUGUUGGGGAAGAUAAUGACGGUACCCAACAAGGAAGUGACGGCUAACUACGUGCCAGCAGCCGCGGUAAAACGUAGGUCACAAGCGUUGUCCGGAAUUACUGGGUGUAAAGGGAGCGCAGGCGGGAAGACAAGUUGGAAGUGAAAUCUAUGGGCUCAACCCAUAAACUGCUUUCAAAACUGUUUUUCUUGAGUAGUGCAGAGGUAGGCGGAAUUCCCGGUGUAGCGGUGGAAUGCGUAGAUAUCGGGAGGAACACCAGUGGCGAAGGCGGCCUACUGGGCACCAACUGACGCUGAGGCUCGAAAGUGUGGGUAGCAAACAGGAUUAGAUACCCUGGUAGUCCACACCGUAAACGAUGAUUACUAGGUGUUGGAGGAUUGACCCCUUCAGUGCCGCAGUUAACACAAUAAGUAAUCCACCUGGGGAGUACGACCGCAAGGUUGAAACUCAAAGGAAUUGACGGGGGCCCGCACAAGCAGUGGAGUAUGUGGUUUAAUUCGACGCAACGCGAAGAACCUUACCAAGUCUUGACAUCCCUUGACAGACAUAGAAAUAUGUAAUCUCUUCGGAGCAAGGAGACAGGUGGUGCAUGGUUGUCGUCAGCUCGUGUCGUGAGAUGUUGGGUUAAGUCCCGCAACGAGCGCAACCCUUAUGGUCAGUUACUACGCAAGAGGACGCUGGCCAGACUGCCGUUGACAAAACGGAGGAAGGUGGGGAUGACGUCAAAUCAUCAUGCCCUUUAUGACUUGGGCUACACACGUACUACAAUGGCGUUAAACAAAGAGAAGCAAGACCGCGAGGUGGAGCAAAACUCAGAAACAACGUCCCAGUUCGGACUGCAGGCUGCAACUCGCCUGCACGAAGUCGGAAUUGCUUGUAAUCGUGGAUCAGCAUGCCACGGUGAAUAUGUUCCCGGGCCUUGUACACACCGCCCGUCACACCAUGAGAGCCGGGGGGACCCGAAGUCGGUAGUCUAACCGCAAGGAGGACGCCGCCGAUGGUAAAACUGGU